rnacentral:rRNA from 1 species
AACGUAGGAGACGAGCGUUAUUCGGAUUUACUGGGCGUAAAGCGUGUGUAGGCGGUACGGAAAGUUGGAUGUGAAAGCCCCCGGCUAAACUGGGGGAGGUCGUUCAAAACUACCGAACUAGAGUGUGGAAGAGGGAGGCGGAAUUCCGGGUGUAGUGGUGAAAUGCGUAGAUAUCCGGAGGAACACCAGAGGCGAAAGCGGCCUCCUGGCCCACAACUGACGCUCAGACACGAAAGCUAGGGUAGCAAACGGG